CAUUCACAUAAGAUUGGGACUCAUAGAUCUUGGGAAGAGAAGGAGCUGAUCCCCUUAGCUGUGAGAUCUUUACUCUUUUUCCCUCAUUAAGGUUUUGUCCCAAUGGGUUUUCCUUAGUGAGGUUUUUAAUGAGGAAGAUCUCAUGGCUGUCCAAGCUUAGACUUUCACAAAGCUAAGCUUGAGGGGGGGAGUGUUAAGAUGAGGAGAGUUAAGUGAAGAAGGGAGAUGAGGCUUGAGUAGAAUGAGGAUAAGGAAGGCUAGGAAGGUUUGGGAGCUUUGAGAUCAACCAGUCCGUACAAGGCCGUACAAGGCCGUACAUGACCGUACAAGAUGGGAUCGACCAAAGCUCAACCAAACCUUACCUUGAGUUACCCGGGUUACUUAGGUAAAGAGGAGAAGUUACCUUAGCCUUUGUGGGAUGGAUCAGACCGUUGGAAAGGAUAAGGGAGAGUCUUGGACAGGCUGUCACAGCUGGAAAGUAAAAGCAAAAGGCACCAGCCAGCUAAAGAUGCUUCACACGGAUUGAUCACCUCAUUGGAUGGUUUUGAAUUAAGCCUUGACUCCACAUGCUUAUCUUAUCCUCUUGUUUACGAAAACCCUAAGCUCUCUCUUCAUAUAAAUAUGUAAACUCUCUCAUUAAUAUAAUCAAGCAAGUUAUGAGUCUCUCUUAGUCUUUUAGUCUCUCAAUGGUUCUAUACUAGACUCUUAAUCUCAUUUCAUACUCAAAUCUCUUCUAAAUCACUUCUAGUCUUUCUUAUUCACUCAGAUUACUCUACUCAAUCCUAAAAGUGAUACUGAAGUGUAUCUGAUAUCUUAUCAUGGAUAUUGCAUCUAAAAUCUAUCGCACAAUGUGAAACUAAGUAUCAAACAGAACAUGGACGAGGUUGGAAAAUAAGUCCGAAUAGUUGCACAAAUUUAUGCAGAGGCUGAGUUUGAACAGAAGUAUCAAGAAUUUAGUGAGAGGUAUCCAUCAUGUGCUAUGUAUCUUGAUAAAAAUGUAGCUGUUACAAAUUGGGCGAAAUGUCAUUUUCCCAGUGCAAGGUACAACAUAGACACCUCUAACUGUGCAGAGUUUAUGAAUCAGAUUUUUGAUAAGGCACAAAGGUACUCUUUACUGCCUAUGAUUGAUACAGGUAUUGACAAAAUGGCUGAGUGGUUCAACAGACAUAGGAAGGAUGCUGCUGCGUAGAGCUGGGAAAAAACACCGAAUCUUAAGAACCAAACCAAACCCUUUCCAAAAAAGUAGUACCGAACCUGAACCAAAAUUGAUUGAAUAUCCGAACAAUUUCAAAAUUUUGGUAUCUAGAGAACCAAAACUGAACCCGACCCAACAGAAGUAUUUUAGGUACCCUAAUGUAUCUGAAAUAGAUUUUAAUACAUAAUUAUAUUGUUACUUUUGACUUAAUGUAAAUUAAAAACAUCUAAAAUAUAUAAUAUACUUUUAAGUUUCCUAAAAUACUUGAACAUAUAUACAAAUAGUCAAAAUUAAAUGCUUAAAAUAGCUAAAAUGUACUCAAAACACCAAAAAUACUUGAAAUAUCUAUAGAUUCUCUAUCCAAAUAUUCAAACGAAAUCAAUUUAUUUGUUAAUUUUAGGUAUUUUGAUAUACGUUAUUCAAAUAUAUAUAUAUAUAUAUAUAUAUAUAUAAUAUUAUUUUGGUUAUAGAUUUUGAGAAUUUUAAAGUAUAUAAUGAAUUUUAAAAUUUUAAAAAUCAUUUAAAUGGGUUAUCCGAACCCGAACUAAACCCACAAAGAUCUGAAUUGAACCCGAACAUUUAGAAAUACCCGAAUGGGGCUGAAAUCUUUGAUCCCGAAAACCAGAAACCCUAAUAGACCCGAACCAAACCCGAAUGGGUACCCGAACACCCACCCCUACUGAUGCGGGACUGUCUGCUCGAAAAUUGGUUUCUUCUGUGGAGAAUAAAAUGCAUAAAAGAUGUCCAACAAGUGAAAAACUAAUGGUGACUGAAUUGAACUCUUUUUGAGCUUGAAUACAAUAUCAUUGGGGAUGACGGAAAGAAUUAUUUGGUGGAUUUGAAACAUAGAACAUUCAGCUGAGGUACUUGGAUAUUGAUAGAUACCCAUGUGCCCAUGCAUUAGCCGCUGCCAUUAAGUGUUCGAAGCAUGAGAUAGACCAUACGAGUUGAGUGAUAUGUAUUGUUUAAUGUAGGCUUUGGCGUAUAGAAGGACUAUAUAUCCAGUCUUACAUAUGUUCGAAUGGAUGGUUCCAAAAGAAAUCGAGGAGUUGAAUGCCUUACCUCUAGCCUACAAGAAAAGAAAGAGAAGAACUCAAGAAAAGAGGUAUCCAUCGGUAGGAGAACAUCAGAGCAAGAAUAAGUAUGUGUCGAACACGAAUUUGGGUUGCUGGUUCAACUGCUCAGAAGGAUCAUAAGAAACACAAGGAAAACAAGGAACACAAGAAACACAAAGAAUACAAGGAUUUUAAGAGGCAUAGGUUGUGCCUGUGUGGCUAAAACUUUUGGUUUUAAUGUUUUUAUUGUAAGGGACAAGUUUGUAAAACUUGAUGAAACCUGCAUUUUAUGUUUGUACAACUAAGUGAAACUUGUUUCAUUUCUGAUUUAAUUACAAUCAGUAAACAAAGUAAAAUUUGUAAAUAAAAAAUUGAAGAUUAAAAUCAAAGUUAUUUAUAUGUUAUUGAUGUUAUUUAUGAUUUAAAUAAAAAUUAUUAAAAAAUUUCAUCACACUACUUAUUUGUAUUCAUUAUGAAGGAAAUAAAUUACUCUUUUAUAGAUUUUUCCUAAAUAUUGACCUUGUGAGAUUUGAAAAUUAUUAUAUGUCAUGAAAUCGAGUAUAUUUUUACAUCAUUAUAUGAGAAAAGCAUCUAGGAAAAAUAAUAUAAUUGGCAUAACUAUAAAAUUAUUCAUCUAAUUACAGUAAAACUAAGAAAAUUGCAAAAAAAAGUAGAAAAGUAAAAUUUUGAAGGUUUUGUAAAAACACAAACUUGGUGAAACUUCGACCACAAUUUUUCCCGCCCAAAUUUUCGAAUUCCCCCUGCCCCCCCCCUCCCCCAUUUUUCUAAAAUUUCACUCUCCUCAAAAUCGAUGAAGACAUAUAUUCAUUUUUUUUGGGUUUUUCCCAUUUCUCUCAACCCCAUCUCUUUCUCUGCAAUUAUCUCUCUCUAACUUUAGAGAAUUUUCUCUCUUUAUUAGAUCUUAGUAUUAAUUGAGAACAAGCCAUCGCUUGACUCAAUACCUAAAAAUAACUAGAAUGAUCUAACUGACUAGAUAGACACGCGAGUUGGUCUAGUAAGUUAGAGAACACUAAUCAAACCCGAUCGGAAAGCUUUCUGGAAGAAGCAUCAAUCGACGCAAUGAUAGUUCUGUCGGUCGAUUAUUUGAAAGGUGUAUCGAUCGAUAUUCUUUGUGAAUCAUCGAUCGACACUUUCUCGCAAUUAACAUACGAGAACAGAUUAGAUAAUCUAAUUGAUUAUACCUAAGUUUGAGUUCGAGAACAAUUAAUAUCAAUAAACGCCUAAAAACCCAAAUUAAGUUAUUUAUUUAUCAUACCUGAGAAUAUACCUGAAUCUAGCUAAUUACCCAACUGUUAACAAUCUCAAAUCAAACCAAUCGAGCAACUGCCUUGCUCACCAAUUCAUUUACUGCUCUAAAACCUAUUAAUCUAUCUUCAUUUCGAAGACUAUAAAUCUAUUGUGUAAUCCUAGAGUCUUUGUGGAUUAGAUCCCUAAGUACUACAUCUGAACCUCUUAGUAAUUCACUCCUUAGGGUAAUUUGAGUGAUAUCAACUACUUGAGACGCGAAUGUCAUCUUAAAACCAACUUGUUCCUAGAAAUUUUCUUAAAACCAACAUAUUCCAAGUCGUCAACCUAAAACCCACCAAAUCACAGUCUCAUCGUCGUCUUUAAAUCGACCCAGAUUGUUGAUCAUUCCAAUUUUAAAAAGAAAAGCGUACACAACCCUUCAAAUUUAUUGGUUUAGCCAUUUUCUUUCGUAAAAAGGAGGGAGUAGGUACAAAUACUAUACUCGUGUACUCCUAUACUUCAAAAUUUUUUUGCCUCGGAAUCAAGAGAACACUUUUGAAAAAGAAAAAUCUCGCAGCAACAGGCAGAAAAACACUUAGGCAAUGCGAUGCCUCAUUAAAAUUGUCCCAGAAAGGCAAACAACAAUCUUAGAUUCGUCUAAACACUAGCAAUGUAUCCAAACCAUCCCAAACAUAAUAUCAAGGACUUUACAACAUUUCUUGUCGCAAUCAUGCGUUUCGAAAGCUAGUACAAAUAUCAAACUGAAACUUGACGAGACAAAGUCUUGUAGACCUUUUUGACUUAAUAAAGCGAGUUUCUUAUGAAAUCAAAAAUUAUACAAGAAAUCUUCAAGCAUCAAAGCAUUGCUUUCAGUUUUGAUGAACCAAGUGAGUCACAGAAAAGCAUCGAAAAGUUUGGGACAAAGAAAAAUCGAGAAUAAAAGUAGCAGCGAGCACAACAAAGGGAACACUUUCUCCCCGCUCAUUGACUUCAUCUACCGCUGGUUGACCAAUUCGUUCCAGAAACGAAUAUGUAAUGAGAUUCCUCUCAAAAGCCUACGAAAAACGUUCUGCGACUAGAUUGUAUAGAAUAACAUCAGUAAUACUCUAUAAGUAACUCCAAGCAACUUUCACUAAAGCUCGAAAUCAAAGCAUAAACGUUUCUCGUAAGAACUGGGGAAACAAAACUACUUUGACAUGACCAUACAUAGCACCGAUUUACUACCUUCAUUAAACUGAUCACCCGUUACUUACACAAAAAAUCUUUCAGACAAUCAGAUCAAGUCAUACAAAGCAACUUUCCGAAGUAAACAUAACAUGUCUGAUUCUUUAACCCUGCGGCAUGAUGGCUUCUGCCUUUCAUUCCCCUCAGUCACAUCCGAACAGGAAAUCAUCCCGCAACUGAUUCCGCACGGAUUAUGUAUCAAACCUCUUAGGCUUCAUCUUCCUCAGACAAAAACCAAACAAUUUUCAUACGGCUAUAGGAAAUGUUUAACGAAACAUUCAUCAUAGAACUGAAACUUAAAGCAGAAAUUGUGUUCUAUCAUCAUCGGCCAUCUUAACACAGAUAAAUCUGGCAUACUUGGCCUACUAAUCUCUACAAAGCUCUUUGGCCCUCAGCCAAUUAAACCUUCCCGAAAAAACCCGAACUAGAAUCUGGCAUCCCCUUUAACGACAAUUGUGGGAACCAAAAUUCAUACCGUUGAUUUCCAUAAUCGGAGGAAAGCCUUGAAACCUUAACUUUCCUUGAGGUUUGAUAUCACUCAAAUUACCCUAAGGAGUGAUUUAUACUCUCUCAAAUAAGAGGUCGAGUUUUAGUACUUAUGGAUCAAAUUCACAGGGAGCUAGGGAACCAAAUAAAUCCAUUCUUAGAUUUAAUGACUGCGGAUUGUACUAUAGAUGCUAAAGUGGAUCAGCCUACCAGUUAUUCACACUUGCUGAGAAUGUUUGGAAGAACCAAAGCUGACCUCCAACCUAAUUGAGCUUAACUUUCUUGUCUUGGGGCUUGGUAUACAUUGGAUCGAAAUCCUCCUGCAAGUCUGGAAGGUAUUAGACUUAGUGUCACUAAUUUUCUUUCCACCUCUCUUUGGCAUCCAUAAGUUUUAUUGAGUCAAGAAAGGGACAAUGAACUUCUAAAAUUUUCUUUACUCAUAUAACCUCUCUUAGCACCAUUCUUAGAUUUAAUGACUGCGGAUUGUACUAUAGAUGCUAAAGUGGAUCAGCCUACCAGUUAUUCACACUUGCUGAGAAUGUUUGGAAGAACCAAAGCUGACCUCCAACCUAAUUUAGCUUAACUUGCUUGUCUUGGGGCUUGGUAUACAUUGGAUGGAUUGAGGGUGAGAUGAGUGAUGACUUGAGUCUACAACUUCUAGGGCAAGUUCUAGCUAGCUAAACUAGAAAAAGGUAUUAGUGACAAUCCUAAUGAUGAAUAUCACAACUUAACAAUCUAUAGUUGGGGCUAAUCCCUUAUAACAUAUUUAAACCCUAAACCUAACAAUAGAACUACUCAGACAUGACUAAGCAAUUCAUAACAACAGUUAGGUAUAAAAACUGCAUUGAUAAGUAGAUAGAUAUUAAUGGAGUUCUAAUCACAAAUCUCUUUUGAUCUUCUCUCCAACUCUACUAAGAUCCUAGAAAACCUUUGCUGUGAAAAUAAGAAACCAAUAAAGCACACUUUUCCUUUAACAUAUUUGCAAACUAUAAAUAUCAGGUUAAAACUCAUCAGGGGUAAUCUUGUAAUUUGGUGAAGUCUUGGGCUCUAAGUCAGCUAUGACCAACCGGGCUUCUGAGCACUUCGCUGUCAAUCGAUGUCACAGAGUGUGCAUCGAUCGAUUAUUGUCUCUUAAUGUCGACCAUUGGUCUUGCUCGAAGGUCAGCUCGGAUGCUUUCUCCAAUUAUCUCCAAAAUUCUCCAAAAUCAUCAAUUUCUUCCAAAUCACUCCUGAUCCUAUAAAUAUACUAAAUAGAAUCUAAAACAUAAUAAUUACUUAUUAAAACACUUAUAAACCAUGGCUAAAAGUGGGUAAAAUUCAUUGUCUAUCACUAGAUAUAUCUAUUGAGUGCCUUAGCUCCCUGUGAAUUCGAUCCCUAAGUACUACAAUUGAAUCUCUUAUUUGAGAGAGUACAAAUCACUUAUUGGGUAAUUCGAGUGAUAUCAAUAUUCCGUGGAUAGUCCUUGGUAGGAUCAUAAUUUACGCAAGUUUCACUUGGUUUCGUGCUCUUUUGCUUAUUUUAUUCAUUUAAAUAAAAUUUUAUUUAAUUAACAAAAGGAGGAGGAGUAUCACAUAAUCUUUUUUCCAGUUUUUUUUCGUCAAACGGCUAUUCCAUUACUCAAACAUGAGGUGGUAUGGAAAACCUGACCGAAACUGAACAACAAUUGAAGUACAUGUUCAUAUGAAAGGAUCUUGUUAUCUUAGCUAAUGAAUCAUACAUUUCCAGAACGAGGAAUAAAAACAAUUGAGAACUUCCUGAAUCUACUCUUCAGCUUUGCCAACUCCUUUAGCAAUGUGGAAAACUUAGGCCAUGCUCCGGGGUCUUGAACCAUCGAGACUAGAUCCUUACAAUCGGUGACAAAAGCCAGACACAUCAAUAGUUGUGGCAUUCACCCCAUUGCCCAUAAGAGGGCCUCAAGUUCCGAGUGAAGUGGUGAGAAUCUUCGCAGUUGGUUUCUGGCUCCCGAUAGCUGUGUUACUCCUCUUGAGUUUAUCCAUAUCUACCCAUACCACUAAAGAGUGCAUCAUGUGUCUAUGAUCCAUCUACCAUGCAUAUCUCAGAGGAUUGUGCUUGUUCAGGGUGUUGUGUAUCCCUCUAAAUAAUUUAUAAUUUCUCGCUUUCCAAUUGUACCAUAUAAUCCAUGGGAAUGGAUCUCUAUCCAACUCAGGAUCUUCAAUAUCGUUCUUUCGCCCGAAUAGAUAGUCCAUAUUUGUGAAGUUGCUUGCGCUGGGGAACACUAGUGGUGGAAUCGGGGUAGCUGCAUUUGAGAGGAGGCAAUUCAAAUAUGGCAUGGUUUAUAGUUUUAUACUCUACGCCACAUCUAGGAAAAUGGUUGUCGCAUCACAUAUAACGAUGUGUCAAGUUGAUUGUCACUGCUAAUGGUCCAAAUAUCUUUUGCCAAAUAUGAUGUUUGAUUUUUCAUGGAGCUUGUAUCUUCCAACCAGAGGCUUAGAGUUUUUUGAUACUAGUUUCUCUAUGUGUAUGCACCGUAUCCUUGUUAAGCAGGUUCUUGGCUACCCAGUAGCCUGACUUAAUAGUGUACCUUCCAUUCUUUAUAUAGGUCCAAUAGUAUUCAUCUCGACGAUAUCAUUUUUUUCUAGUUAAACGCACUGGAGCAUUUGAUUCUUAUUUUUUGUGAUUGCUGCCAAUAACCAUUAUAGGUUUAUAGCCCAUAAAUUCUGUGUUUGUGAGUGAUAACUGAAAAACUAGUCAAAUUUUUAAUAUAUUUAUGAUAGCGAAAAACUGUCAAUCCUUUAAUGUGUUUAAUUAAUUUUGUACGGGAAUGAGCAAAAAAAAGAUCUUAUUAAUUUAAACGCUAGGGAUAUUACAUUAUAAAUAAAAGAACACAAUAUAUAUAUAUAUAUAUAUCUUAAUAUAAAGUAGAGAGAGAUUCUCUUCUCAUUCAGCCACGUAAAGAAUUGCUUUCAUGCACAGCGCCAUGUGUCUUCACUAAAGGAGGUAUCGACUUUAGUCAUUUGCGGGUUUCUUCUUGGGCUCAAUAUUAAGUUAUUGGAACAAUUUUUAUCAGGCCUGGAUUCAGAUGAUUAUUGGACCGUAUAAAGAUAUAGAUAGUCUUCUCUUAGAUACUCCGCUGAUACAAUCAAAAGUCGUCACCGGCGAAAUACUGAUUCUUUUCAUCUUACUGCCAUAUGAUCUCCACCGGCUUUAUGUAGAUUAAUUUUUAUCCGACCAUAUCCUGUUGGAACCCAACAUCGGUUUCUUACGCCUGGCUCUCUACUUACCGAUAGACAGAAAUCAGGAGACGUUACGGAAUUUUGCUGAAUGUCUUUAACGCACUCAUUAACAACACCUAUCCACUCCUCCCAUGAUUCAUCAUUGAAAGCUUCCUCAAUUACUUUCUUUCUGUGAAUCUUUGAUUAUAAAUACAUAAAUACCAUCCUGUGAAAUUCGUCACUUCGAUCCAUAGGGUUUUAGAACUUUGGGAGAUGAUUUCGUUUACGGUUUUUGAUUUUGUUUAUGUUUGUUGGUGUAUUACCGUUACCGUACAAUGUUUCACCGUCACCGACACCGUCAAGCUGAAUGUUUAGAAUCUUCAGCUGCAGCUUUGGUCAUUCAGGCGUUGAAAGAGCCGGAGAGAGACCGUAAAAAAGUUAAGAACUUUACUAUGAUGAGAUUAAUAUUCCAUUUGAUUAUUUCAUUGAGAUUUCUAGGAUGCGGCAUAAAUCUAUUGCAAAAGAGCUGAGUUAGCCAUAUUCUGGAAACAUGUGUCGGUGUUGGAUGCACCGUUGAUGGAAAGGAUCAGAAAUAUCCUUGGCAGUAUAUUCAAGGGUGAGCUGCUAUGUUUCUUCACUUAGAAUGACUCAGGUUUUGAUUAAUGUUGGGUUGUGUUCUUCUGUUUAACAAUCCCAAUUGUUUACCAAUCUCAUUAUUAUUUCUGAUUUGGUUUAGGUAAAAGAAACAGAAAGUUACAUAGAUUUCUUGCAUAUCAUUGUUUUCUAUUUCUCUCAUAUUUAACCCUUCUCCGGUAAUGAUGCUAUUAUUUGCUUUCUCCAGUGAACUAUUAUGAUCUACGGCGAGUUGAGUCAUUAUUUCUUCUCUUCUUCUUUCUAUGGAUCCUAAUUUAUAUAAGAUCUUUGAUACCCAUUAAAAUACUUUAGGUUACAUUUUUGCUUUUCUGCCUUUUAUUUUUGUUUUCUAGGAACUGAACAAUUUGUCUUGAUUUGGUUUUUGUGAACUGGGAAAACGCUGACGUUGUUCGAGAAAUAGAAUAACAGGGCUAAGGGUCUGACCUUCCACCCCGAAAGACCAAGGAAUCACGCUACGUUUCACAUAGGUGUCAUCCAACUCUGGUAUUAUCAAUGGAUUCGUUCGUUCUCACUCUACAACUUAUCUUCCCCUAGAAGGUAAGAUAGGAAAUCUAUGUACAUGUAAAAAAGUUGCACACUAGAGAGAUUUAGUGGAUUUUUCAUUACCCAUGAGUUUAGAUGUUCUAUAGUCUCCAAAACUUCCACUCAUAUCUUUGUAAAAAUUAUGCUUGCGCUCAUAUGUAUGUGUUGAAUAUAUGAAUAAUUUUCUAGAUUCACAAAGUUGUUGAGAUAUAUAAUCAGUUCACAUAUAGAUUCUAAUUUUUUUCAUGAUCCAUGCUGUUCUUGAUGAACAUAUACAAAUAUGAUAAUGCUGAUGAAGAAAUGUGGAUCAGUAACUAUUUUAAAACCUCAGGAGAGUUUGGAGCAGCCUAGGAUGAAAAGAGAAGCAACCACAUACAUAUAGAAAUUGAUCAUUGUGCUUAAAGAUGUUUACAUAUCUUUGUUUCUUUUUGCUUCUUUUGUUUUCCAUGUUUCUCUUCAUUCUAUUUAACAAACUUUGAAUUUCAGAGAAACCAUAAUGUCUUCAAUCAAUUCCACCGUUAUAAGUUAUUCAGCUAAUUUUCUCACUACAUUUUCUGGUUUAACGAAAACUCUUGCGCACCAAGCAUCCUGUAGUUUAGUACAAAGCAUUUUUUAUGCUGGCUUCUAUUCAUUUUUUCAGGAACAUAAGAACUUUCCAAAGCCAAAAUCUAAUAAUGUGCACUGUUGGUUUAUACAAACAGAGAGAAUUGUUUUACUACUCUCAGUAAAACAUAAACAAUGUGGAGAUAAUCAUAACUACUUUAGCGUUAUUUUCCAUUUUUGUUAUUGUUAGAUAAGAUACGAUACUUAGAGAUAAUCAUGUAUCUGAUUUGUGUAUAUCACCUCCUUUAGAUAAGGAUGCAUAUCGUGUGUAUAUAUACUGAUGACAUGAAUACAUAACUCUCUACGGAGACUUACAUUAUAACAUGGUAUCAGAAACUUAACCUAGCCACCCAGCUCUUUGAUCCUCUCCGCUUUCUUCUUCUUCUUCUCCUAAAAUCUUUAUUCUCUUCUUCUUCUCUAUUUUCUCGCCAUGGCUGUCGUUACUUCAUUCAAUGACAAUCUUUUCGGCAUAUCUCAAAUAAAAGCAUACAUCCCUAUAAAGCUGGAUAUGAUCAAACUGAACUACCAAGUGUGGCGAGAACUCUUUGAAACUCACUGCAUAAGCUUUGGUGUUCUUGGUCAUAUCGAUGGGUCUCUAUUACCCACUCCUGAUACGGAGAAAGAAUAGAAAGAACACGAUGGACUUGUGAAGAUGUGGAUCUAUGGAACAAUAUCUGAUUCUAUUCUCGAAACCGUCCUCACCACGAAGUGUACUGCUCGAGAUCUUUGGUUAAAGAUUGAAAAUCUUUUCAGGGACAACAAAGAAGCAUGGGCUUUACAAAUUGAAAACGAGCUACGCACCAUUGUCAUUGGAGAUCUCUCAAUCCACGACUACUGCAACAAACUGAAGACUCUGUCGGAUCUCUUGGCCAAUCUGGACUCACCGGUUCCAGACAAAUCAUUAGUCAUGCAUCUUCUCAAUGGGCUGUCAGAGAAGUUUGACAACAUAAUCAAUGUCAUUAAGCACAAAGUGCCUUUUCCCAGCUUUCUUGAGACUCGAUCUAUGCUAUCUAUGGAAGAAGAUCGACUAUCUAAACAUGUCAAGCCUAAUGUCACUCAUAAUGACAAUGCUUCUGCUCCGAAUGUUUUGUAUACGACUUCAGCACCUCAGCAACAAAACUCGAAUAACAGCAACACUAACAAUGGUCCCUCCAACAACAACAAUAGCUACAACAACAACAACAAUGGAGGCUCUCAUCGUGGAAACCGUGGUCGUGGACGUGGUGGUCGCAAAAAUCGCGGGCGUGGACGCUUCAAUAACUGGAAUUCGCCGUUCUACACUCAGAACUGACAGUUUGGACAACCGCAAUGGUCAUCGUUCUAUCAGCAACAGCCGCCAUUCUUCAAUAACUAUUCCAUGGGACAGCAACGAAUGGUUCCGAAUAAUGGUAUGAUGCAACCUGGUUUACUAGGUCCACGUCCUGAUGCUCGAAUGACCAAUGAAGCUCAUUCCAUUGUGUCACCAUCUGUCCAGCAGCCGAUGCUUAACACGAUCCCUGCGAACCUAACACAUGCGUUCAACACCAUGAGUUUUGAGGAUCCGAGCAAUGCGACGUGGUACUUCGACACAGGAGCGACGAAUCACAUAGCUUCAGAUUAAGGUACUCUUCGUUCGACUGUUAAUACGAGCAACUUACCUUCUGUCAUAGUCGGAAACGGCUCGUAUGCUCCAGUCACGAAACUUGGUCAGGGAGUUAUUCCUUCUAAUUCUCGUCCCUUUCAUCUUCGCAAUGUUCUUGUGUGUCCUUCUAUUAUUAAAAAUCUAAUCUCUGUUCGAAAAUUUGUUACUGAUAAUUUUUGCUCACUUGAAUACUUUGGUUUUUCUAAUAAGGAUCUUCACAAUCGGACAACUUUGCUCCGAUGCAAUAGUCAAGGACCUCUCUACCCUAUUACUCCACCGUUGCAAUCUUCUCCUCACCUGGCUUUGUUUUCUUCUCAAAAUACCUCUUCUCUGUGGCAUCGAAGAUUAGGUCAUCCAAGUGAUCAAGUUCUUCAACGCAUCCUUUCAUCGCUUUCUCUUAGUUUCAGUAAGACUGACUUGACAAAUCUUUGUCAUGCAUGUCAACUUGGUAAACAUACCAGACUGCCUUUCUUUACCUCUAAUAGCAUUGUUUCUAAUCCUUUUGACAUUAUACAUUCUGAUAUUUGGACCUCUCCUGUCCUAAGUGUUAAUGGUUUCAAAUACUAUCUUCUUUUUCUUGAUCAAUACUCACACUUUGUUUGGAUUUAUCCUCUUCAUCGAAAAUGCGAUACCUUUGCAAAGUAUCUUCAUUUCACUCGAUAUGUGCAGACUCAAUUUAAGAGCACGAUCAAAGCAUUACAAUGUGACAACGGUGGGGAGUAUGAUAACAAGGCCUUCAAGGACUUCUUAGCAACACAAGGAACCACAUUUCGGUUUUCCUGUCCAUACACUUCGCAACAAAACGGCCGUGCAGAAAGAAUGCUUCGCACCAUAAACAACCUUGUCCGUACGAUGUUACAACAAGCCUCAAUGCCGGACACGUUUUGGGUGGAAGCUCUCCACACUGCAGUACAUCUUCUCAACCUCUUACCGUCCUCCGCCAUCAGCAAUGAAAUACCAAUCACAAAGCUGUUCAAAACACCAGCUCGCUAUAUGCAUCUCCGCAUGUUUGGCUGUCUCUGCUACCCUAAUCUCCUGCCAACAACAGUUCACAAGCUGGCGCCGCGGUCUACCCCAUGCGUCUUCCUUGGGUAUCCGACUGAUCACCGUGGGUUCAUAUGUCUUGACUUACAAUCUCACAAAAUCAUACUCUCCCGCCGUGUCACAUUCGAUGAAAAUAUAUUUCCAUUCUCAACUUCUUCUCAAACACCUGUGAGUCCCUCUCUUGAGUCUUUACCUCCUCCGCCUAUUAUACGUCGUCCUUCGCCUUCUCCUACUACACCUGCAGUGUCUCUACCUUCUCAAUCCAACCACCCUAUGACUACUCGCAGUAAAAGUGGUAUAUACAAACCACGAGCUCUGUUGUGUCUCCAUACGGACACAACAAUUUCUCCCUUACCAGUAUCUCACGUGCAAGCAGCUAAAGAUCCGAACUGGAAUCCCUCUAUGAAAGAGGAGUACAAUGCUCAUAUUAAACGUGGAACGUGGAAACUAGUACCAUGACCUGUUGCUACUAAUAUUAUUCGCUGUUUGUGGCUUUACAUGCAUAAGUUCAAUGCAGACGGCACCCUAAACCGGCACAAGUCGCGACUGGUUGCGAAUGGCAAGUCUCAACGACCUGGUAUUGAUUGUGAAGAGACUUUCAGUCCUGUUGUCAAACCAGAAACCAUCAGAACAGUGCUACAUGUCGCGACUGCUAGAGACUGGCCUCUUCACCAGCUUGAUGUUAAGAAUGCAUUUCUUCAUGGUGAUCUUGAAGAAACCGUCUACAUGCAUCAACCACCUGGUUUUGUUGAUCCAUCUACACCUGAUCAUGUGUGUCUGCUUCAGCGAGCUAUCUAUGGCCUCAAACAAGCGCCCAGAACCUGGUACAAUAGAUUUGCUAAUGUCGCAGAGAAGAUUGGCUUCACACAGACCAAGUCGGAUGCUUCCCUGUUCAUCCUCUCUCAUCAAACGCAGACGGCUUAUCUCCUAUUGUACGCGGAUGACAUUGUGCUCACGGCAUCAACACAGAGUCUCCCUAGCCGAAUCAUUAAUGCCCUCAAAGCUGAGUUUGACAUGACUGAUUUGGGCCGGCUUCAUCACUUUCUCGGAAUCUCUGUGCAGCGUGAUAAGCAAGGACUGUUUCUCCAACAACAAAACUAUGCUGCGGACAUUCUACAUCGUGCUGGCAUGACUGACUGCAAUCCAUGUCUCACACCAGCAGAUACAAGGUCAAAACUUGCCACCGAUGACAGCCCACCGGUCACUGACCCUUCGCUGUAUCGUAGUCUCGCAGGGGCUCUACAAUAUCUCACAUUUACACGGCCAGAUAUCGCAUUUGCCGUGUAACAAGUGUACCUAUUCAUGCAUGAUCCUCUUGAGUCUCAUCUACAUGCCCUCAAACGCGUGCUUCGGUAUGUCAAAGGUACUAUUUCUCACGGCCUGCGACUGUACAAGUCAAAAAAAAAUGAUAUGGUCACGUAUUCGGAUGCUGAUUGGGCUGGCUGUCCCUCCACUAGACGGUCUACGUCAGGAUAUUGUGUUUUUCUUGGGGAUAAUCUUGUGUCCUGGUCGUCUAAACGACAAGAUGUCAUCUUGCGAUCGAGCGCCGAAGCUGAAUAUCGAGGGGUGGCGAAUGCUGUCUCCGAAGCUACGUGGCUUCGUACGCUAUUACUUGAACUGAAAAUUCCGGUCCAGCGUGCCACUUUAGUCUACUGCGACAAUAUCUCAGCCAUCUACAUGUCUUCCAACCCAGUUAAGCACCAACGUACCAAGCAUGUGGAAAUAGACAUUCACUUUGUGCGUGAAAAGGUGGGAAUUGGUGAGAUUCGAGUGCUCCAUGUACCAACUGCACAACAGUUCGCUGACAUAUUUACCAAGGGCCUGUCGUCACCUCUAUUUUUGGAGUUUCGGAACAGUCUAAGCGUUCGUGAACCUGCCUCUUUGACUGAGGGGGAGUGUUAGAUAAGAUACAAUACUUAGAGAUAAUCAUGUAUCUGAUUUGUGUAUAUCCCCUCCUCUAGAUAAAGAUGCAUAUCGUGUGUAUAUAUACUGAUGACAUGAAUACAUAACUCUCUACGGAGACUUACAUUAUAACAGUUAUUGUGAAAAAAAUAUUGAAAUAUAACGUGCAAUUGACUGGUGGGCAUAAGUCUCAAAGAUAAUAUAUAAGGUGUGGAGAAACUGGAAGAUCGAACAUAACAUAAAAGAGUAAC